AGUCAAUCAAUGAUGAAGAGAGUAGUAAAGGGCCGUCCCCUGAAGCGAUGCAGGGAUGGUGAAAGCCUGCAGGGACCCUUUUAUGAAGCGCACUUAGGAGAUGCCGGGCCGAAAGUCAAAGUAGGUCCUGCCGGGGCCAUCCCCCGUUAUCAUGUCAAGAGGUCCUAUGGACAAUCAGAGUGGCACCGCGGGUAUAACAGGCUCGUCUCUUUU
rnacentral:ncRNA from 1 species